rnacentral:rRNA from 1 species
CCUACGGGAGGCAGCAGUGGGGAAUUUUGNGCAAUGGGGGAAACCCUGAUGCAGCAACGCCGCGUGGAGGAUGAAGUCCCUUGGGAUGUAAACUCCUUUCGAUCGGGACGAUAAUGACGGUACCGGAAGAAGAAGCACCGGCUAACUCUGUGCCAGCAGCCGCGGUAAU